CACUUUUGUCACACAAAAAAUAAUAAGUACAUUACAGCAAUGGUUUAUUAUUAAGUAUAAAUAUAUUUAAAGUAGUAAAAAACAUCUAAAAAUUUGGAAACAAACUAAAAUACAUUCGUUAACUACCCAAGAACUCAAAUGCAAUCUGCUUUUUAUUUCAUAAAAUACAUAACAAUAUAUCAUAAUUAAGAGGUAGUAAAACAAAACAAUUGUCUACAUGCAUCAUCAUUUUUCACCUAUUUAAAAUCAACAAAAAGAGGUAGGUACAAACCAUUUGUGAGAAAAGAUUUACCCUUAUUUUUGUUAUUUAAUGCCAAUCCAUUUAAAACAUUAAUAAAUCCCUUGAAAGAUUACAUUGG
rnacentral:lncRNA from 1 species